AUUGAACGCUGGCGGCAGGCUUAACACAUGCAAGUCGAACGAGUGGCGGACGGGUGAGUAAUGCUUGGGCAUCUAGCUUAUGGAGGGGGAUAACUACGGGAAACUGUAGCUAAUACCGCGUACCAUAGGAUGAGCCCAAGUGGGAUUAGGUAGUUGGUGAGGUAAAGGCUCACCAAGCCGACGAUCCCUAGCUGGUCUGAGAGGAUGACCAGCCACACUGGGACUGAGACACGGCCCAGACUCCUACGGGAGGCAGCAGUGGGGAAUAUUGCGCAAUGGGGGCAACCUGACGCAGCAAAGCCGCGUGAAUGAAGAAGGCCUUCGGGUUGUAAAGUUCUUUCGGUAGCGAGGCGUUAACUACAGAAGAAGCAACGGCUAACUCCGUGCCAGCCGCCGCGGUAAUUC
rnacentral:rRNA from 1 species